ensembl:snoRNA
CAGAUACAGUGAUGACUGCAUAGUUCAGCAGAAUAUCCUGUGAUGAACAAGUGCUUCGCCCCUAUCUGAUGUGUCUG